AAUCGUUUGAUAAAAAGCGCGAGGGUGGGGCAGUAUUAAAACGAUUCAAGCAAGCAACUUGGGCUGUAUUCUUUAAAGAAAAGGCAAAGUAGCAAUUCUUCAACGGGAGAACUAGCAUUAUAUAUCACUGAAUUGUACGAAAUUCCCGUACAAUUUCGUUCGUGAUCUUUUGAGCCAAAUUGCGUACACAAGAGAGACGUGCAAGAGGGAAAUAAAACUCGCGCAUAAAGAAUCCAUCGUACCGGUCAGGCGAGUCCAUUGCUGUAGCAGAGGAAAACCAGUGCAGAAAUCGAGUCGGGCCUAUAAGAAGACGUGACUGAUUAAGCUGAUCCACGCAAACUAUACUAAGACGAGAUUCAACAGGCGCAGGUCUGACGUGUUAUCACAGCAGUCGUCGAGACAAACGGCAAACCGCAAAGAAAUACUAUUUAGGAAUACCAAUAAAUUUGAAACAAAAAAUAAUAAACUAGUUCUUAUAUAGUAACAAUAGAAUUAAAGAUAUAAAGGAAUUUUAUAAUAAAUUGUCAAAAUAUAAGAACAUAGUAUAUAAGUCUUAGAAAAAAAUAUUAAAGUGAUUAUAUAGUUACUAUCUCAUUUUUAAACUUAUUAAAUAACUUUUUUAUUUAUUUUUACAAAUUUAUAAUUCUAAAAUUUUAUUUCUAAAUAUAACAAUAUGAUGACUCAAUCUAGAGGUAGUGUUUCAUUUUCUGAAGUAUUAACUACAGUCAAUAGUGAAGUAACAAAGCAUGAAAUAAGAAAAGAAAUUAAAGAACAACUUAGAUCCAUGGAUCGUAAUAGGAAAGAAAGAAUAUUAAUCAAUACAUUAAAAGGACUUAACGAUCUUCCAUUAAAAACUAGAACUAUUGAAAUGUAUAAAGACUGUAUAUUAGAAGUAUAUGCAGAGUUAAAAAGAAUGUUGACACUUCCAUCUGUAGUUGACCAUAUAUUAACCUGAGCAUAUAUCACCUAUCAUGAAAAAAGCAAUAUAUGUGUAAUUGGUAUUUUUUUAAUAAAUAAUGAAAUUAAAAUAAUA